rnacentral:rRNA from 1 species
AACGCGAAGAACCUUACCUGGGCUUGACAUGCUGGUAGUAGAAACCUGAAAGGCGACGAGCCCCGCAAGGGGAAGCCAGCACAGGUGCUGCAUGGCUGUCGUCAGCUCGUGCCGUGAGGUGUUGGGUUAAGUCCCGCAACGAGCGCAACCCUCGCCCUUAGUUGCCAGCGGGUAAUGCCGGGCACUCUAAGGGAACUGCCCGUGAUAAACGGGAGGAAGGUGAGGAUGACGUCAAGUCCUCAUGGCCUUUAUGCCCAGGGCCACACACGUGCUACAAUGGUCGGUACAAAGGGUCGCGAACCCGCAAGGGGGAGCCAAUCCCAAAAAACCGGCCUCAGUUCAGAUUGGGGUCUGCAAUUCGACCCCAUGAAGUCGGAAUCGCUAGUAAUCGCGGAUCAGCACGCCGCGGUGAAUACGUUCCCGGGCCUUGUA